rnacentral:rRNA from 1 species
UACGAAGGGGGCUAGCGUUGUUCGGAAUUACUGGGCGUAAAGCGCGUGUAGGCGGGUCUUUAAGUCAGAGGUGAAAUGCCAAGGCUCAACCUUGGAACUGCCUUUGAUACUGGAGAUCUUGAGUCCGGGAGAGGUGAGUGGAAUUGCGAGUGUAGAGGUGAAAUUCGUAGAUAUUCGCAAGAACACCAGUGGCGAAGGCGGCUCACUGGCCCGGAACUGACGCUGAGACGCGAAAGCGUGGGUAGCAAACAGG